UGUUUGUCCAUUUUUGUAAGUGUUUUUUUCACUCAAGCAGAACUUUAAUGUUCUAUAGUCAUUGCAUUUAUGAAGUGCAUAUAAAGGGACUGAUUGUAACUUUUGAGUCACUCUUUGUCUUCAGCUUCUCCAUCCGAAUUAAUGCAGACAGAACCACAUCCCUUACUGACACAAGACAAGAUACCUGUCACAGAUCAGUCUAUGAAUCUGGGGGUGUCCCUGGCUGUAGUUGUGCUGUUGUGUGGAAUUAUGACCGUCAUUUUUAUUCUGAUUAAGAAGAACAAUGCAAAGCGUUCAACAGACUUUUCUCAACCAAGGAUUUGCACACAGUCGGACAGGGUGAGUCGAAAAAGCCUAAUUUUACACAAACUUAUACAGAUUUUGAAAAAUAAAACACU
rnacentral:lncRNA from 1 species